CAGUCGCCGCGGUAAUACGUAGGGUGCAAGCGUUGUCCGGAAUUAUUGGGCGUAAAGAGCUCGUAGGCGGUUUGUCGCGUCUGCUGUGAAAUCCCGAGGCUCAACCUCGGGCUUGCAGUGGGUACGGGCAGACUAGAGUGCGGUAGGGGAGAUUGGAAUUCCUGGUGUAGCGGUGGAAUGCGCAGAUAUCAGGAGGAACACCGAUGGCGAAGGCAGAUCUCUGGGCCGUAACUGACGCUGAGGAGCGAAAGCGUGGGGAGCGAACAGGAUUAGAUACCCCAGUAGUCCCUGUCUCUUAUAC
rnacentral:rRNA from 1 species